rnacentral:rRNA from 1 species
GGAUCCAGACUUUGAUCAUGGCUCACGAUGAACGCUAGCUACAGGCUUAACACAUGCAAGUCGAGGGGAAACGACAUCGAAAGCUUGCUUUUGAUGGGCGUCGACCGGCGCACGGGUGAGUAACGCGUAUCCAACCUGCCCAUCACUUGGGGAUAACCUUGCGAAAGUAAGACUAAUACCCAAUGAUAUCUCUAGAAGACAUCUGAAAGAGAUUAAAGAUUUAUCGGUGAUGGAUGGGGAUGCGUCUGAUUAGCUUGUUGGCGGGGUAACGGCCCACCAAGGCAACGAUCAGCAGGGGUUCUGAGAGGAAGGUCCCCCACAUUGGAACUGAGACACGGUCCAAACUCCUACGGGAGGCAGCAGUGAGGAAUAUUGGUCAAUGGACGAGAGUCUGAACCAGCCAAGUAGCGUGCAGGAUGACGGCCCUAUGGGUUGUAAACUGCUUUUAUAAGGGAAUAAAGUGAGUCUCGUGAGACUUUUUGCAUGUACCUUAUGAAUAAGGACCGGCUAAUUCCGUGCCAGCAGCCGCGGUAAUACGGAAGGUCCGGGCGUUAUCCGGAUUUAUUGGGUUUAAAGGGAGCGUAGGCCGGAGAUUAAGCGUGUUGUGAAAUGUAGAUGCUCAACAUCUGAACUGCAGCGCGAACUGGUUUCCUUGAGUACGCACAAAGUGGGCGGAAUUCGUGGUGUAGCGGUGAAAUGCUUAGAUAUCACGAAGAACUCCGAUUGCGAAGGCAGCUCACUGGAGCGCAACUGACGCUGAAGCUCGAAAGUGCGGGUAUCGAACAGGAUUAGAUACCCUGGUAGUCCGCACGGUAAACGAUGGAUGCCCGCUGUUGGUCUGAAUAGGUCAGCGGCCAAGCGAAAGCAUUAAGCAUCCCACCUGGGGAGUACGCCGGCAACGGUGCAACUCAAGAGGAAUUGACGG